GGCCGCAGACUGAUAGCCCUUUGAGUAACCUGAGGUAAAGGGCGUCUUGGGUCAGAUCAGGGAUUAGAAAACUUAAUGCAGAAACAUACGUCUUAAUCGUACUGACCAUUAACACUAAAUAAUAUUUGAGCGUGAGGAAUUCCAAAGCUAAGGGAAUUGUGUCAGAUUCAUGGGAAAGGGAAUUAAAGUAAACUUCCCAUGCUUUAAAU